rnacentral:rRNA from 1 species
UACGUAGGGGGCUAGCGUUGUCCGGAUUUAUUGGGCGUAAAGAGCUCGUAGGCGGCUCGUCGCGUCGACCGUGAAAACCCGCGGCUUAACUGCGGGCUUGCGGUUGAUACGGGCGGGCUAGAGUUCGGUAGGGGAGACUGGAAUUCCUGGUGUAGCGGUGAAAUGCGCAGAUAUCAGGAGGAACACCGGUGGCGAAGGCGGUUCUCUGGGCCUGUACUGACGCUGAGGAACGAAAGCGUGGGGAGCGAACAGG